AUUAGUGAAUAGCCAUUGUUACAGUUACACUCUGGCUGAUACUUUGUUGCAACCAUGUAUUUCGGUUAUUUAUGACAUGAAAGCCGGGUCAUUUGGUACUUGCCCGAUUUGAACAGUGAUACCCCAGAUUGCUAUGCCAUGGAGCCCAUUCG